rnacentral:rRNA from 1 species
GCCAGACUCCUACGGGAGGCAGCAGUGAGGAAUAUUGGUCAAUGGUCGGGAGACUGAACCAGCCAAGCCGCGUGAGGGAUGAAGGUACAGAGUAUCGUAAACCUCUUUUGUCAGGGAGCAACGCCGGCUACGUGUAGCCGGACUGAGAGUGCCUGAAGAAAAAGCAUCGGCUAAUUCCGUGCCAGCAGCCGCGGUAAUACGGAAGGUCCGGGCGUUAUCCGGAUUUAUUGGGUUUAAAGGGAGCGUAGGCCGGCUUUUAAGUCAGCUGUGAAAGUCCGCGGCUCAACCGUGGAAUUGCAGUUGAAACUGGAGGCCUUGAGUGCACACAGGGAUGCCGGAAUUCAUGGUGUAGCGGUGAAAUGCUUAGAUAUCAGGAAGAACUCCGAUCGCGAAGGCAAGUGUCCGGGGUGCAACUGACGCUGAGGCUCGAAAGUGCGGGUAUCAAACAGGAUUAGAUACCCCUGUAA